rnacentral:tRNA from 1 species
GGCAUGGUAGCCGAGUGGUUAAAGUGCUUCUAGUUAUUUAUUCGGUACCGAAUAUCGAUGGUUCGAAUCCAUCCCGGAGCAA